CCCAUUUAAACUGGACACAGGUUCACCUGUAUGGACAUUUAUAUCAACCCCCUCAUGUUGAGAAGUCAUCUUUCUCCAAAGACUCGUUUUUUGCAGAAUUCUUCUUCAAGGUAUGAGUCCAGUUUAAAAGCCACCGCAUUUGCUCUGCUUAGUUCAAUGUGAAGUGCAUAUAUAACCCUAUAGUCGCGCGUUUAGAGGUGCGUGUUCAGCGCGCAUUGAGGCCAGUUUUCCACCGGCUCGGCUCGGCUCGGCUCGGCUCGGCUCGGCUCGGCUCGCUUUCAGAGCUUUUCCACCGGCUUUUUUUCGGGGCUGGUCCUGCUUUUUAGGUCCCUGCUUCGGAGCAGGCCCAGCCAGGCCGGGGCAUAACACCGGCCCUGCUUUGGUGGGUGACGCAAGCUUCGCUCCUGCUCACUGAUUGGCUGUGGGCGUGGUCAGACGGAGGAGCAAAGAGAGAAGAAAAACGAACUUUUCAAACUCGCUACAACACGGAAGUGAUGGAAGCUACAAACAAGCCGUGAACUAAAAGAUGCCGGCUUUUCUUUGCUUCGGAUUUCAAUAUUCAGCAGCAGCUCGAUGGAGUUUUUUUGUGAUGUAGUGGAGAGAAUGGAAAGCCUCGUUAGCCGCUUCGGAGCCCGACGGUGAACACCGACUCAGAUGCAGCUGAGGCCGCUGCUGCUCUCCAGCCAGGGAACAGAAGAAGAGGAACAUGGCUGACAUGAUGGAGAACGAUGAGGAGAACCGUCAGAACAACUGGAUCUCCUUCAGGAGUUGAGGCAAAAUCAAGAAUAAAAUAAAAGCUGUUGUG